rnacentral:misc_RNA from 1 species
AACGCACAUUGCGCCCUUUGGUAUUCCUUAGGGCAUGCCUGUUCGAGCGUCAUCUACACCCUCAAGCUCAGCUUGGUGUUGGGCGUCCUGUCCCGCCCCCCGGGGUCGCGGACUCGCCUCAAAUGCAUUGGCGGCCGGUACCUUGGCUUCGAGCGCAGCAGAAACGCGGUCUCGGAGCCGGGGCGCCAGCUCCCAGAAGCUAACAAAACCAUAUUUUGACCUCGGAUCAGGUAGGAAUACCCGCUGAACUUAA